GUACGGUAGACAGUCAGCCAGGUCUGAGGGAGGGUGGUACAGUAGACAGUCAGCCAGGUCUGAGGGAGGGUGGUACAGUAGACAGUCAGCCAGGUCUGAGGGAGGGUGGUACAGUAGACAGUCAGCCAGGUCUGAAGGAGGGGUGGUACGGUAGACAGUCAGCCAGGUCUGAAGGAGGGUGGUACAGUAGACAGUCAGCCAGGUCUGAGGGAGGGUGGUACAGUAGACAGUCAGCCAGGUCUGAGGGAGGGUGGUACUGUAGACAGUCAGCCAGGUCUGAAGGAGGGGGGGUACGGUAGACAGUCAGCCAGGUCUGAGGGAGGGUGGUACAGUAGACAGUCAGCCAGGUCUGAGGGAGGGUGGUACAGUCGACAGUCAGCCAGGUCUGAGGGAGGGUGGUACAGUAGACAGUCAGCCAGGUCUGAGGGAGGGUGGUACGGUAGACAGUCAGCCAGGUCUGAGGGAGGGGUGGUACAGUAGACAGUCAGCCAGGUCUGAGGGAGGGUGGUACAGUCGACAGUCAGCCAGGUCUGAAGGAGGGGGGGGUACGGUCGACAGUCAGCCAGGUCUGAGGGAGGGGGUUGGUAUGGUAGACAGCCAGGCCAGAAGAGGGAGCCAAAGGCAGGAUGGUUAGCUAAGGCUAGAAUCACUGUUGGAGGAUGGCUAGAUGCUUGAGGUAAAAAUGGCUCUUAAUCACAGAUCUAGGACCAGAUUAUUAUACGCCAAAUCUAACCUGAACCAUUAGGAGGAUGAAGAACUAUCUGACCCUGAAUCCGUAGUUAAGGGUGAAUUAUAGAUACAUCUGGCUGGGUGGGUGGUUGAGGCUGCAGGUGGGAGAGGAGAGGCCAUGUGCAGGGUAGCCUAGUGGUUAGAGCGUUGGACUAGGAACCGGAAGGGUGCAAAUUCAAACCCCCGAGCUGACAAGGUACUAAUCUCUACUAACCCACUGUUCCCAGGCCGUCAUUAAA